GUGAGGAAUAUUGGUCAAUGGGCGCAAGCCUGAACCAGCCAUGCCGCGUGCAGGAAGACGGUCCUAUGGAUUGUAAACUGCUUUUAUUUGGGAAUAAACUCCGGUACGUGUACCGGCCUGAAGGUACCAAAUGAAUAAGCACCGGCUAACUCCGUGCCAGCAGCCGCGGUAAUACGGAGGGUGCAAGCGUUAUCCGGAAUCAUUGGGUUUAAAGGGUCCGCAGGCGGUCUUAUAAGUCAGUGGUGAAAGCCUACAGCUCAACUGUAGAACUGCCAUUGCUACUGUAGGACUUGAAUUCGAUCGAAGUGGACGGAAUGUGACAUGUAGCGGUGAAAUGCUUAGAUAUGUCACAGAACACCGAUAGCGAAGGCAGCUCACUAGGUCUGGAUUGACGCUCAGGGACGAAAGCGUGGGGAGCAAACAGGAUUAGAUACCCGGGUAGUCC
rnacentral:rRNA from 1 species